GUUGUAUGGUUAAGUGACUAAGCGUACACGGUGGAUGCUUGGCAGUCAGAGGCGAUGAAAGACGUAGUAACUUGCGAUAAGCCAGAUUAGGUAGUAACAACCAUUUGAGUCUGGGAUUUCUGAAUGGGGAAACCCACGUGCAUAAGCACGUAUCCUUACCUGAAUACAUAGGGUAAGGAGGCGAACCGGGGGAACUGAAACAUCUAAGUACCCCGAGGAAAAGAAAUCAACCGAGAUUCCGAAAGUAGCGGCGAGCGAAAUUGGACUAGCCCUUAAGCUUUACACGCGUUAGACGAACGGUCUGGAAAGUCCGACGAUACAGGGUGAUAGUCCCGUAGUUGACGACGUGUGUUCAGUGAAAUCGAGUAGGGCGGGACACGUGAUAUCCUGUCUGAAUAUGGGGGGACCAUCCUCCAAGGCUAAAUACUACUGACUGACCGAUAGUGAACCAGUACCGUGAGGGAAAGGCGAAAAGAACCCCUGUGAGGGGAGUGAAAUAGAACCUGAAACCGUGUACGUACAAGCAGUAGGAGCAGGCUUUGUCCUGUGACUGCGUACCUUUUGUAUAAUGGGUCAGCGACUUAUAUUCAGUGGCAAGGUUAACCAUCUAGGGGAGCCGUAGGGAAACCGAGUCUUAACUGGGCGUUCAGUCUCUGGAUAUAGACCCGAAACCAGGUGAUCUAGCCAUGGGCAGGUUGAAGGUUGAGUAACAUCAACUGGAGGACCGAACCGACUAAUGUUGAAAAAUUAGCGGAUGACUUGUGGCUAGGGGUGAAAGGCCAAUCAAACCUGGAGAUAGCUGGUUCUCCCCGAAAGCUAUUUAGGUAGCGCCUCGGACGAAUACUACUGGGGGUAGAGCACUGUUAAGGCUAGGGGGUCAUCCCGACUUACCAACCCUUUGCAAACUCCGAAUACCAGUAAGUACUAUCCGGGAGACACACGGCGGGUGCUAACGUCCGUCGUGGAGAGGGAAACAACCCAGACCGCCAGCUAAGGUCCCAAAUUACUACUAAGUGGGAAACGAUGUGGGAAGGCUCAGACAGCAGGAUGUUGGCUUAGAAGCAGCCAUCAUUUAAAGAAAGCGUAAUAGCUCACUGGUCGAGUCGGCCUGCGCGGAAGAUGUAACGGGGCUAAGUAGUAAACCGAAGCUGCGGCAAUGUGCUUUUGCACAUUGGGUAGGGGAGCGUUCUGUAAGCGGUUGAAGGUGUGUGGUAACGCAUGCUGGACGUAUCAGAAGUGCGAAUGCUGACAUGAGUAACGAUAAAGGGGGUGAAAAACCUCCUCGCCGGAAGACCAAGGGUUCCUGUCCAACGUUAAUCGGGGCAGGGUAAGUCGACCCCUAAGGCGAGGCCGAAAGGCGUAGUCGAUGGGAAACGGGUUAAUAUUCCCGUACUUCUUACAAUUGCGAUGGGGGGACGGAGAAGGCUAGGUGGGCCUGGCGACGGUUGUCCAGGUUCAAGUGCGUAGGCUUGAGAGUUAGGUAAAUCCGGCUCUCUUUAAGGCUGAGACACGACGUCGAGCACCUACGGGUGUGAAGUCAUUGAUGCCAUGCUUCCAGGAAAAGCCUCUAAGCUUCAGAUUGUAAGGAAUCGUACCCCAAACCGACACAGGUGGUCGGGUAGAGAAUACCAAGGCGCUUGAGAGAACUCGGGUGAAGGAACUAGGCAAAAUGGUACCGUAACUUCGGGAGAAGGUACGCUCUCGACGGUGAAGUCCCUCGCGGAUGGAGCUAUUGAGAGUCGCAGAUACCAGGUGGCUGCAACUGUUUAUUAAAAACACAGCACUGUGCAAAAUCGUAAGAUGACGUAUACGGUGUGACGCCUGCCCGGUGCCGGAAGGUUAAUUGAUGGGGUUAGACUUCGGUCGAAGCUCUUGAUCGAAGCCCCGGUAAACGGCGGCCGUAACUAUAACGGUCCUAAGGUAGCGAAAUUCCUUGUCGGGUAAGUUCCGACCUGCACGAAUGGCGUAAUGAUGGCCACGCUGUCUCCACCCGAGACUCAGUGAAAUUGAAAUCGCUGUGAAGAUGCAGUGUACCCGCGGCUAGACGGAAAGACCCCGUGAACCUUUACUACAGCUUGGCACUGAACAUUGACCCUACAUGUGUAGGAUAGGUGGGAGGCUUUGAAGCACGUACGCCAGUAUGUGUGGAGCCGUCCUUGAAAUACCACCCUUGUAGUGUUGAUGUUCUAACGUCGACCCCUUAUCGGGGUUGCGGACAGUGCCUGGUGGGUAGUUUGACUGGGGCGGUCUCCUCCCAAAGAGUAACGGAGGAGCACGAAGGUGGGCUAAUCACGGUUGGACAUCGUGAGGUUAGUGCAAUGGCAUAAGCCGCUUGACUGCGAGAAUGACAAUUCGAGCAGGUGCGAAAGCAGGUCAUAGUGAUCCGGUGGUUCUGAAUGGAAGGGCCAUCGCUCAACGGAUAAAAGGUACUCCGGGGAUAACAGGCUGAUACCGCCCAAGAGUUCAUAUCGACGGCGGUGUUUGGCACCUCGAUGUCGGCUCAUCACAUCCUGGGGCUGAAGUCGGUCCCAAGGGUAUGGCUGUUCGCCAUUUAAAGUGGUACGCGAGCUGGGUUUAGAACGUCGUGAGACAGUUCGGUCCCUAUCUGCCGUGGGCGUUGGAAGAUUGAAGGGGGCUGCUCCUAGUACGAGAGGACCGGAGUGGACGAACCUCUGGUGUUCGGGUUGUGUCGCCAGACGCAUUGCCCGGUAGCUAAGUUCGGAAUCGAUAACCGCUGAAAGCAUCUAAGCGGGAAGCGAGCCCUGAGAUGAGUCUUCCCUGAUACUUUAAGUAUCCUAAAGGGUUGUCGGAGACUACGACGUUGAUAGGUCAGGUGUGUAAGUGCUGUGAGGCAUUGAGCUAACUGAUACUAAUUGCCCGUGAGGCUUAACCAUACAACACCCAAGGGGUUU
rnacentral:rRNA from 1 species